GACGAACGCGGGCGGCGUGCGUAAUACAUGCAAGUCGAACGCACGAAGUUGAAGAGCUUGCUCUUUAACCAAGUGAGUGGCGGACGGGUGAGUAACACGUGGGUAACCUGCCCAUUAGAGGGGGAUAACAUUCGGAAACGGAUGCUAAUACCGCAUAGUUUCAGGGAUCGCAUGAUUCUUGAAGGAAAGGUGGCUUCGGCUACCACUAAUGGAUGGACCCGCGGCGUAUUAGCUAGUUGGUGAGGUAAUGGCUCACCAAGGCAAUGAUACGUAGCCGACCUGAGAGGGUGAUCGGCCACACUGGGACUGAGACACGGCCCAGACUCCUACGGGAGGCAGCAGUAGGGAAUCUUCCGCAAUGGACGAAAGUCUGACGGAGCAACGCCGCGUGAGUGAAGAAGGUUUUCGGAUCGUAAAACUCUGUUGUUAAAGAAGAACAAGGAUGAGAGUAACUGCUCAUCCCCUGACGGUAUUUAACCAGAAAGCCACGGCUAACUACGUGCCAGCAGCCGCGGUAAUACGUAGGUGGCAAGCGUUGUCCGGAUUUAUUGGGCGUAAAGCGAGCGCAGGCGGUUCUUUAAGUCUGAUGUGAAAGCCCCCGGCUCAACCGGGGAGGGUCAUUGGAAACUGGAGAACUUGAGUGCAGAAGAGGAGAGUGGAAUUCCACGUGUAGCGGUGAAAUGCGUAGAUAUGUGGAGGAACACCAGUGGCGAAGGCGACUCUCUGGUCUGUAACUGACGCUGAGGCUCGAAAGCGUGGGGAGCAAACAGG
rnacentral:rRNA from 1 species